AAAGUGGCGAACGGGUGAGUAACACGUGGGUAACCUGCCCUCGGGUGGGGGAUAACACUUCGAAAGGAGUGCUAAUACCGCAUGAGACCACGACCUCCUCGGAGGACGUGAGAAAAGGUGGCCUCUGCUUGCAAGCUACCGCCUGUGGAUGGGCCCGCGUCCCAUUAGCUUGUUGGUAGGGUAACGGCCUACCAAGGCGACGAUGGGUAGCUGGUCUGAGAGGACGGCCAGCCACACUGGAACUGAGAUACGGUCCAGACUCCUACGGGAGGCAGCAGUGGGGAAUGUUGCGCAAUGGGGGAAACCCUGACGCAGCAACGCCGCGUGAGCGAUGAAGGUCUUCGGGUCGUAAAGCUCUGUCGAGUGGAACGAAAGGACGCAUGCGAAUAGUGUGCGUCUCUGACGGUACCGCUAAAGGAAGGACCGGCUAACUCCGUGCCAGCAGCCGCGGUAAUACGGAGGGUCCAAGCGUUGCUCGGAAUUACUGGGCGUAAAGGGCGCGUAGGCGGCUCGUUAAGUCGAGUGUGAAAGCCCAGGGCUCAACCCUGGAAUGUCACUCGAAACUGGCGUUGGUAAUAUGCGGGGGAGGGGGAAAGCGGAAUUCCUGGGUGUAGAGGGUGAAAUUCGUAGAUAUCAGGAGGGACACCGGUGGCGAAGGCGGCUCUCUGGUCCGUUACUGACGCUGAGGCGCGAAAGCGUGGGUAGC
rnacentral:rRNA from 1 species